GGUUUGAUCAUGGCUCAGAUUGAACGCUGGCGGGAUGCUUUACACAUGCAGAGUCGAACGGCAGCACGGACUUCGGUCUGGUGGCGAGUGGCGAACGGGUGAGUAAUGUAUCGGAACGUGCCUAGUAGCGGGGAUAACUACGCGAAAGCGUAGCUAAUACCGCAUACGCCCUUCGGGGAAGCGGGGGGACCUUCGGGCCUCGCACUAUUAGAGCGGCCGAUAUCCGGAUUAGCUAGUUGGUGGGAGUAACGGCUCACCAAGGCGACUGAUCCGUAGCUGGUUUGAGAGGACGACCAAGCACUGGGACUGAGACACGGCCCAGACUCCUACAGGAGGCGGCGAGUGGGGGAAUUUUGGACAAUGGGGAAACCCUGAUCCAGCCAUCCCGCGUGUGCGAUGAAGGCCUUCGGGUUGUAAAGCACUUUUGGCAGGAAAGAAACGGCACGGGAUAAUACCCCGUGCAACUGACGGUACCUGCAGAAUAAGCACCGGCUAACUACGUGCCAGCAGCCGCAGUAAUACGUAAGUGCAAGCGUUAAUCGGAAUUACUGGGCGUAAAGCGUGCGCAGGCGGUUCGGGAAGAAAGAAUGUGAAAUCCCAGAGCUUAACUUUGGAACUGCAUUUUUAACUACCGAGCUAGAGUGUGUCAGAGGGAGGUGGAAUUCCGCGUGUAGCAGUGAAAUGCGUGAACAUGCGGAGGAACACCGAUGGCGAAGGCAGCCUCUGGGAUAACACUGACGCUCAUGCACGAAAGCGUGGGGAGCAAACAGGAUUAGAUACCCUGGUAGUCCACGCCUAAACGAUGUCAACUAGCUGUUGGGGCCUUCGGGCCUUGGUAGCGCAGCUAACGCGUGAAGUUGACCGCCUGGGGAGUACGGUCGCAAGAUUAAAGCUCAAAGGAAUUGACGGGGACCCGCACAAGCGGUGGAUGAUGUGGAUUAAUUCGAUGCAACGCGAAAAACCUUACCUACCCUUGACAUGUCUGGAAUCCCGAAGAGAUUUGGGAGUGCUCGCAAGAGAACCGGAACACAGGUGCUGCAUGGCUGUCGUCAGCUCGUGUCGUGAGAUGUUGGGUUAAGUCCCGCAACGAGCGCAACCCUUGUCAUUAGUUGCUACGAAAGGGCACUCUAAUGAGACUGCCGGUGACAAACCGGAGGAAGGUGGGGAUGACGUCAAGUCCUCAUGGCCCUUAUGGGUAGGGCUUCACACGUCAUACAAUGGUCGGGACAGAGGGUCGCCAACCCGCGAGGAGGAGCCAAUCCCGAAACCCGAUCGUAGUCCGGAUCGCAGUCUGCAACUCGACUGCGUGAAGUCAGAAUCGCUAGUAAUCGCGGAUCAGCAUGUCGCGGUGAAUACGUUCCCGGGUCUUGUACACCGCCCGUCACACCAUGGGAGUGGGUUUUACCAGAAGUAGUUAGCCUAACCGUAAGGAGGGCGAUUACCACGGUAGGAUUCAUGACUGGGGUGAAGUCGUAGCCGGGUAG
rnacentral:rRNA from 1 species